GAAAUACUACGCCUCCAAU
rnacentral:siRNA from 1 species